CAGUAGCCGCGGUAAUACGAAGGGUGCAAGCGUUAAUCGGAAUUACUGGGCGUAAAGCGUGCGUAGGCGGUUUGUUAAGUCUGCUGUGAAAUCCCCGGGCUCAACCUGGGAAUGGCAGUGGAUACUGGCAAGCUAGAGUGUGUCAGAGGAUGGUGGAAUUCCCGGUGUAGCGGUGAAAUGCGUAGAGAUCGGGAGGAACAUCAGUGGCGAAGGCGGCCAUCUGGGACAACACUGACGCUGAGGCACGAAAGCGUGGGGAGCAAACAGGAUUAGAUACCCGGGUAGUCCAUGUCUCUUAUAA
rnacentral:rRNA from 1 species